GAUGAACGCUGGCGGCGUGCCUAAUACAUGCAAGUCGAGCGAACAGAUGAGGAGCUUGCUCCUCUGACGUUAGCGGCGGACGGGUGAGUAACACGUGGAUAACCUACCUAUAAGACUGGGAUAACUUCGGGAAACCGGAGCUAAUACCGGAUAAUAUAUUGAACCGCAUGGUUCAAUAGUGAAAGACGGUUUUGCUGUCACUUAUAGAUGGAUCCGCGCCGCAUUAGCUAGUUGGUAAGGUAACGGCUUACCAAGGCAACGAUGCGUAGCCGACCUGAGAGGAUGAUCGGCCACACUGGAACUGAGACACGGUCCAGACUCCUACGGGAGGCAGCAGUGGGGAAUCUUCCACAAUGGGCGAAAGCCUGACGGAGCAACGCCGCGUGAGUGAUGAAGGUCUUCGGAUCGUAAAACUCUGUUAUUAGGGAAGAACAAAUGUGUAAGUAACUAUGCACGUCUUGACGGUACCUAAUCAGAAAGCCACGGCUAACUACGUG
rnacentral:rRNA from 1 species